UUCCAUGUGUAGCGGNGAAAUGCGUAGAUAUAUGGAGGAACACCGGUGGCGAAAGCGGCUCUCUGNUCUGUCACUGACGCUGAGGCUNGAAAGCGUGGGCAGCGAACAGGAUUAGAUACCCUGGUAGUNCACGCCGUGAACGCUGAGUGCUAGGUGUUAGGUCCUUUCCGGGACUUAGUGCCGACGCCAACGCAUUAAGCACUCCGCCUGGGGAGUACGACCGCAAGGUUGAAACUCAAAGGAAUUGACGGGGGCCCGCACAAGCGGUGGAGCAUGUGGUUUAAUUCGAAGCAACGCGAAGAACCUUACCAGGUCUUGACAUCCCGAUGCCCGCUCUAGAGAUAGAGUUUUACUUUUUGUACAUCGGAGACAGGUGGUGCAUGGUUGUCGUCAGCUCGUGUCGUGAGAUGUUGGGUUAAGUCCCGCAACGAGCGCAACCCUUAUUGUUAGUUGCCAUCAUUAAGUUGGGCACUCUAGCGAGACUGCCGGUAAUAAACCGGAGGAAGGUGGGGAUGAUGUCAAAUCAUCAUGCCCCUUAUGACCUGGGCUACACACGUGCUACAAUGGUUGGUACAACGAGUCGCAAGCCGGUGACGGCAAGCUAAUCUCUGAAAGCCAAUCUCAGUUCGGAUUGUAGGCUGCAACUCGCCUACAUGAAGUCGGAAUCGCUAGUAAUCGCGGAUCAGCACGCCGCGGUGAAUACGUUCCCGGGCCUUGUACNC
rnacentral:rRNA from 1 species